ACGCUUCUACGCCAAAGGACAAGCGCAGUUAGAGAGCCAGUUACACAUGUGUAUGAUACUGUCCAGUCUAAUCUUGAGCCAACUGCCUUUUACAAUCUGAGAGGAGGGUCAGCAAGUGCUUUCGAGAUCACAAACGCACCUCAACAUUUGGAGAUGGAAGAAAACAAAUAUUCAUAUGAAAAUGAAUAUCAUUAUGAAUAUGUGGACACACCAUCCGAUCACAGAGACAGUCAGACAAACGGGCCGGAUGCAAAUUAUAUUCACGCUCUAUGAAACUAUUUCUCGAUUGCAAAGACAGCUUUAGCUGUUACCCAUCACAUUCCUGAUUAUAAACCAGUUGUCCUUGUUGACAGACAAAUUAUCUCAUCCUGCCCCUGGUAAAACACAAAAAACACGACGUCUAGGAUAGAUUUGGACACCUCAAUCGUUAAACCAUUUUCAUUCUGUUGUUUUCUCAGUAAUUAAUAUCAAAAUUAGUUUAUACGAAGCUGUACUGAGAAUAACAACCUUGAAAAUGAUUCAGAUAAGAUAAAACAUUUGACAUGGUUGAGUAUCUUCGGAAAUUGACUUAACACUCUAAAGCUGCAUAUUUAAAAUGAAUGCAUGAAUGAAUGAAUGAUUGAAAUACAUUUUUUUAUUCUUUUCGGAAAGAUACGUGAGGAGGUGACGGAAUUGUAGUGAGGUUUAAGUGUACUUGUACGCAAAACAAUCAUGCUUUUAUUGCAUUUGCUUCCUCCUUUUUUGUACUAUUAUCAUAUCAUUGUUAAUUUAUUUCCCAUAUGAGUGCACAGUUUCGCAAACUGUUCUUAGAUGCGUUUUAUUAGUUAGAUGUAUAUAUACUAUUGAAUUGUACCUUUGAUGAAUCAGGAGGCCGUUUUAAUAUAUAUCUCAGUCGAUUUCGGUCGUAAAUUGAAAUUAUGUUGUGAGUGAAUUCAACUUACUCCAGCAUUGAAAAUGAACACGAAGUUUAGGUAAUUGAUGCACCGACAUUUAUGUUUAUUCAGAAGUAUAUUACUUAAGGUUUAUAAUAAGUGUACCUUUCUGUUGAUUUAUUGUUUUCAAGCGGAUGCGGUCUUUUAAUAUGCCUAUACGGUUAAUUGUGUAAUGUUAAGACAAGUUUGAUCUUUAAGAUACUGAAAGCUGGUUUCCAUAUAGUAACAUAUAUUUUCCUUGUCUGUUCUGAUGCGGUAUCCAAAACAUUUAUUUAUAGACUUUAUU